rnacentral:rRNA from 1 species
GGCAAACGGGUGAGUAUAAUGUAGGAAUCUACCUUUUGGUUUGGAAUAACACGGGGAAACUUGUGCUAAUACCGAAUAAGCCUUUACCGGGAAAGUUUUAACGCCGAAAGAUGAGCCUGCACUUGAUUAGCUAGUUGGUAAGGUAAAAGCUUACCAAGGCAACGAUCAAUAGCUGUUCUUAGAGGAAGACCAGCCACAUUGGGACUGAGACACGGCCCAGACUCCUACGGGAGGCAGCAGUGGGGAAUCUUGCACAAUGGGGGAAACCCUGAUGCAGCGAUGCCGCGUGAGUGAAGAAGGCCCUUGGGUUGUAAAACUCUUUCGUCGGGGAAGAAAAUGACUGUACCCGAAUAAGAAGGUCCGGCUAACUUCGUGCCAGCAGCCGCGGUAAUACGAAGGGACCUAGCGUAGUUCGGAAUUACUGGGCUUAAAGAGCUCGUAGGUGGUUAAAAAAGUUGAUGGUGAAAUCCCAAGGCUCAACCUUGGAACUGCCACCAAAACUUUUUAGCUAGAGUGUGAUAGAGGUAAGUGGAAUUUCUAGUGUAGAGGUGAAAUUCGUAGAUAUUAGAAAGAACACCAAAUGCGAAGGCAACUUACUGGGUCACAACUGACACUGAGGAGCGAAAGCAUGGGUAGCGAAGAGGAUUAGAUACCCUCGUAGUCCAUGCCGUAAACGAUGUGUGCUAGACGUUGGAAAUAUAUUUUUCAGUGUCGCAGCGAAAGCGUUA